rnacentral:rRNA from 1 species
CCUACGGGAGGCUGCAGUGAGGAAUAUUGGUCAAUGGGCGGAAGCCUGAACCAGCCAAGUAGCGUGCGGGAUGAAGGCCCUACGGGUCGUAAACCGCUUUUGCACGGGGAUAACACCCUCCACUUGUGGAGGUCUGCAGGUACCGUGCGAAUAAGGGCCGGCUAAUUCCGUGCCAGCAGCCGCGGUAAUACGGAAGGCCCGGGCGUUAUCCGGAUUCAUUGGGCUUAAAGGGAGCGUAGGCGGGCGUUCAAGUCAGAGGGAAAAUCGCGCUGCUCAACCGCGCCCCGCAGUUGAAACUGGACGCCUUGAGUUCACAACAGGCAGGCGGAAUUCGUGGUGUAGCGGUGAAAUGCAUAGAUAUCACGAGGAACCCCGAUUGCGAAGGCAGCCUGCCGGGGUGCGACUGACGCUGAGGCUCGAAGGUGCGGGUAUCAAACAGGAUUAGAUACCCCAGUAGUC